ensembl:lncRNA
UAUAUAUAUAUGAUAUGAGUAUUCAAAUAUAAGAUUAUAUAUACAUGUAUAUCAACAGCAAUUUUUUCUUCAGUGAGUCUAGUAUUUGUGUGUGUGUGUGUGUGUGUUUGGGGGGGGUACGGGGAUUCAGCCCAGGACUUCGCACAUGCUAGUCAAGAGCUCCGCCUCACUGCCUGUUCAUUUUAGAUCAUUUUCUUUAAUAAUCCAUAUCUGCAGCGCAUAGUGAUCCCAUUCCUCCUGUGGCGUCGGUGCGCGGUGGGAACACAUCUCGAUUCCCUUUGCAUCCCCUUCCCUCCCUCCCCUUCCACCUCUUGAUCCCCUUCCCAUUCGAGAAAGACCUAUCUCCUAGUUCCCCGGAUCCAUCCUUAAUUUUGCUCUUUAUUUAUACUUUGGGUUUGAGACAGUACGUUGUCCAGGAUAACCUAGAACUUGUGAUCCUCCUGCCUCUGCCUCCUGAGUAUCCCGAAUUAAAGGCCUGCUCCACCCCCCAUGCCCAACUCGGCAGUUUUAGAGGCAUGAAUGAUGUUUACACAUCUUUGUCUCCUCUACACAGAUUUAAGAACGGACUGCACGACUCCAAGCUGGAAGUCCUUCUUUCCCUUAACUUUCAGGCAGACACUGCUGCGACCAUGGGCGAGAAGCAACCAUACCCUUCUGACGGAUGGGGAAACCUAAUGCAAGCCAUAUGACAAUGAGCUGGGGGGGGGGCAGCAAUGGGGACGUGCCAGGCUCUGAGCUUCACUCCUGCUAGGAAGGGCCAGCCUGUGGCACUUAGAAGACAACGACCUGACCAGCUGGCGGGGCCAGGGGUGCCCACUCAGGAAAGACCCUCCCUCUGCAGGAGUCCUUGAUUCUGAGAAUGUGCCACUUGGGCACAGCAAAGCGUUCUUUUCCCUGCGUUUUGCCUUCAUUCCUUUGGCAUAACCCAAAUCCUCUUCGGUGGCAUGCUCCCAAUUGCUGAAAUUCCCAACAUUCAUGAGGAGGGCCUCUUGUUCCCACUCCGAGUUCAAAACCAAGCAAGGGUCCCCAGCCAACCUCAGAAGCUGCCUUGGGACCCCUUGGGGAGCCACCUUCAGUGCUCUGGAUGUAAAUGGUUAUUCAUAUGCUGCUUCUACUGCGGCUGCUGCUCCUGACGUUUACUAAAGCACACGCAUCAAAGAGGGACCCAGCCGCACAUCUUGUCCUUUGCAGCGAGCUGCAAGCGACUCUAAUUUCUUCCAGGCUGGGAGAGACAUUCAGGUGAGCCUAGGGAAUGUCCAUUCCCUCGAAAUGAAAGCUGGUAAACAAAGGGCUCAGGCUGGCUGACUUUGAAGGCCAGGCCAAGGUCACAUAGAGAUCUGCUUCGCUCUUCCUCUGGAUUUGCAAUCCGGAGUCUGAUGUCUCGCUGUUAGGAAUUCACCGAGAGAGAGACCGUGUUUAUCAUGCAAACACAGUUGGGUCCUGCUGCAGACAGACUUGCCUUUCAGUUCCAUGCUCCUAGCAAGUCCUGCCUUUGGCACUUUGGGGACAGGAAUACUUGAGGGACACACAGGGUCUCGGAGGACUAGACAAACCUGGCCCCUUCACUGAAAAGCUCUCUGUUCAGCGGUCCUCUUUCCACAGCCCCUCACCUUCUUAUUUAAACCUGCCAGCAACCUCUCUUAUCGGAUGCAGAGAGUUUAUUCAAAAUGCUCUUGUUGCAAAUAGGAAAGGG